rnacentral:RNase_P_RNA from 1 species
AUACUCGAGUAAUCGCUGCAAUAAUUUAUUAUUGUUGAGGAAAGUCCAUGCUCGCACAGACUGCGAUGUUUGUAGUGUUCGUGUAUUGCGAAAAAAUAAGCGAUAGACGGCUUCCCAGAGCCGUACGGCUGCAUGAUUUAUCUAAGUUGCUUGCAAUAUGAUAGGUCAUCUUUAAAAGUGCCACAGAGACGAAUCUGCAUUGGAAACUUUGCUGGUGAAACGUUGGUAAACCCCGCGAGCGAGAAACCCAAAUUUGGUAGGGGAGCCUGAACGAUGGAAAUGAACAAAGUUCGGGGUGCUUCGUGCACAGAUAAAUGAUUACUGUUUUGUACAAGGCCUUAGGGCUGUUUGCGUACAAAAACACAGAACAUGGCUUACAGAG